rnacentral:lncRNA from 1 species
GGGACAUGGGGGGUCCCUGUGGGGAGGGAAGGGGAUAUACGGAGUGGGAAGGAGAGAUGGGGGGCCUUGCGACAGAAGCAGGGGAGCGGUGACUGCAAGCUGCUGGGUGCAGGGGGGUGGGGCGGGCAGGAGCGGGAGGGAGGCCUUCCAAACCCGGAGGGGACUCGGCCCACAGGGACGACUGGAGUGAGGUUUACACCAGAGGGGCAACAGGGGCCGAGGGGUCCCUUCCUAAGGAGACCACUUGAGGGCUGCUGAACGCCGGAGCCUUACAACUGUUAAACUCAGGCAGAGCUCGGGAAAUGCUGCCCGGAUGGGUGACUGAUGGAGAGGGGCUACCACUCUUCCAGCUAAACUCUGCUCUGGUUGGGACCCAGCAAUUAUUUUCCAUAGCGAAGUGUUAAUAAAAUAUCUGUUACUCCCAACACAACCUCCUGGGGGAAGGGACCUGUCUGUCUGCUUCAACUUUGGAUCCUCAGUGCCCACAUCAGGAUACCUGGCCUGAGAGAGGGUCCUGCCGGAUACCCUGGAGGAAGGAAUGCUGCACAGAGGCCGAGAGGAAUUUGAACAGACUGGCCUUGCUGGGUUUUUAUCUCUUUUUGUCCAAUCCCAUUUUGACACAGUUGUCCAUGCUCCAAUCAUGCUUAUCCAAUGAAGUUUCCAUAACAGGCCUGAGAGGACAGGGUUCAGGAGCUUCCGGACAGCUGAGCAGGUGGAGGUUCCUGGAGGGUGGUGUGCCAGGGAGGGUGUGGAAGCUCUGCCCCUUCCCCCAUACCUUGUCCUAUGCAUUGCUUUAUCUGCAUCCUUCAUUUUAUUUUAUUUUUUUUGAGACGGAGUCUUGCUCUUGUCGUCCAGGCUGGAAUGCAGUGGUGCGCGAUCUUGGCGCACUGCAACCUCCGCCUCCCGAGUUCAAGAGAUUCUCUUGCCUGAGCCUCCCGAGUAGCUGGGAUUACAGGCACCCGCCACCAUCCCUGGCUAAUUUUUGUAUUUUUAGUAGAGAUGGGGUUUCACCAUGUUGGCCAGGUUAGUCUUGAACUCCUGACCUCAGGUGAUCCACCCACCUCAGCCUCCCAAAGCGCUGAGAUUACAGGCGUGAGCCACAGUGCCUGGCCUGUAUCCUUUAUAAUAUCGUUUAUAAACAACCAAUCAGUAAAUGUGUUACUCUGACUUCUGUGAGCUGCUCUAGCAAAUUAAUCAAAUCCGCAGAAGGGUCAUGGGAACCCCAACUUGAAGCCUGUCCGUCAGAAGUUCCAGAGUCCUGGACUUGUGACUGGUGU